rnacentral:lncRNA from 1 species
CAACCAAAAAUCAAAACAAAAAAAAUAUUACAAAUGAGAAAUACUUUGUCUCUCUUCUGGCAGGGCCGUGUAUUCCCACGUCAGUCCAGGCCAAUGUGGAGUGUGUGAGUAACACAGUGAAGGCAUCAUGGGGUCCGGCAGCUGGAGCUUUGUCCUACACUGGUGUUCUGACAGGCCCGGGCCAUUACAAUGAAUCCUGCCUGACCUCUGGCCUCUCCUGCUCCUUUAGGGGUCUGUCCUGUGCACAAACCUACAUGCUAAAUGUCAUCUCUCAAGACAGCCAAUGCAACAGCCCAGUCAGCCCCAAUGUCUCUGUCACAACAGCUCCCUGUGACCCUGAGAGCGUGAGUGCCGUGCUGAAGUGUGACUCUCGUACGGUAAAUGUGUCGUGGCAUGCUGCCGCUGGUGCCAGCAUUUACACGGUCCUGGCACAAACACAGAAUCAGAGCAUUCCUUCCUCUUCCUGCCGUACCUCGGCCACUUCCUGUGACCUCACACAAAUCCAGUGUGGGGAGGUUUUUAAUGUCACAGUUCUUGCCGAUGACGGGGCCUGCAACAGCUCAGCACGGGCCAGCACUAAACUGGAGUCAGGUAUGGAGAGCAUGUCCGGAUUACAGUCUUUAACUUUAGAUUGGAUUGGCUUGUGUAGCCUAAUGACUUAAUUUCCCUUCAUUUCCUCUUCCUGUGUAAUGUCUCAGCACCAUGUCCUCCGACAAUGAGGCCUCCUUCACUGAACUGCAGCACUAAUGUGGCCCUGGUGUCCUGGGUGAAGGACCCAGAUGCUGUGAGGGUCCGUGUCAAUGCCACCUCUGUCCUGGGACACACCGUCACCUGCAGCUCUUCUGCAAACAACUGUUCCAUGGAUGCCUUGCUAUGUGGUCAGACGUACAGUGUGUAUGCUGUGGCCCAGGGCCCUCAGUGUGAGAGUGCACCUAGUGCUCCAUUCACUAUUGUCACAGGUAGGUGCACCACAUAUUCAUAAUUCAGCAUUAAAUGAGCAGUGUUGGGGGUGAAGCAAGUUAUCUAAUCAGAUUACUUUUUUUCAAGUAACUAGUAAAGUACUUAAAACAUUACUUUGUAACAUUUUUUGUUCAAGAUUAAUAUAAUGAGUGUGUACAUCAUAAAUCCAUCUGCCAAUUAAGUCAUUGGGAUUAUCCUGAAUCACUUUGGUAUGCCAAUGAUAAGCAUUUAUAUUCUGACUAUUUUAAACCUGUCAGAAAAACACCCGCUACAAGUAGCCUAAUACCUGCAUGCUCAUCAUCAAAUCAUCAAAUCUACAAUUAAAGCGAAUUAGCUCCAGCUACAAUGUUCUUCCACAAGAUGCAUGCAGUUUUGUUUAUUAACUGCUAGAGGGCCAACAUGGUGUAAUUAAUUGACAAUUAAAUUCAAAGUCAUAAAAGUCGUGCUGCAGCGGUUCCCCAUGAUACCUCCCAGCACAACUGUCUACUGCUUACUCACAGACUGAUAAUUCAGCCAGGCCAAAAUAAACAUUCAGAGCUUAAUAAAAGCGCUCUUCUGUUACUGUUUGCCAGCCCCCUGCACCCCAGCCAAAGUGAAUGCUAACUACAGCUGUGGCACCAGCACAGAGCUGAGCUGGACUGACAGUCUGGGCCGAGAGAGCUUCUAUGUGCUUGCACAGACGACCGGUCACUCAGACUCCUGCAGUACAGUCCAAACCCACUGCUCCAUCAAUUCACUGAGAUGUGGAAGUCUUUAUAAUGUCUCUGUGGAUUCAAUCUCUGGACACUGCAACAGCAGCCACGCAGCCCGCACGCAGCUACAGACAGGUGAACACUCUUAAACACAACCCUCAUUUACCUGCGCAAACAUUUCAGCUCUUUCUCUGAUGAUUUAUUGAACCUUAAAGAAGUCGUAUCUUAUGUAUUUCUUUUUUUUUUUUCAUUACCAUUUCCACAAUUAUUAUAAACCUUAAAAUUAAACAGGCCUCUUUUCUAUGUAAUCAGUUUAGAUAAAUAACCUUUUUAAUGUCUGGAGAAGAUAAUAAUGAGAAUAUCUGUCUUCUCAGCUCCUUGUGCCCCAAGUAAUGUGACUGUAAGACUUCAGUGUUUGAACAACACUGCCGUUGUGUCCUGGGAGGGAAGUCCUGGUGCCGUGGGCUAUAACGUCACUGCUGUGGGACAUGAUGGUGAUAUCAAGCACAGUACCGUCACUGGCACCAGUUGUCAACUACCCAACAUGCACUGUGGUCAGACCUAUGACAUCAUUAUUACACCCUUCUCUCAGACAUGCGCUGGGUUCCCGACUGCUCCCUACACUUUCAAUGCAGGUGUGUAUUGGCAGUUUCCACAAAUGGGGUACCAAUUACAGUCUCAUUGCUUUUGUAAUAAAAAAUAAAGGGGCCAAAGACAAUGUAUUUUGCAGUGAGGGUUAUUAAAAAAACUAUAAUGUAAGAUAAAAUUAACAAGCUUAACAUUAACAUACUGUAAGUGUCCAACAAUAAAGCAUCCUAAUUCUUUCAAUUAAAGAAUUGAUUGUUAAUCUAUAUUAAUUAGCAAAAAUGCUACACAUUUACCGUAUGAUUAUCACAAAGCAUGCAACAUUAGGUAUAUUUGUG